rnacentral:rRNA from 1 species
CCUACGGGAGUCUGCAGUGAGGAAUAUUGGUCAAUGGGCGAGACCCUGAACCAGCAACGCCGCGUGAAGGAUGACUGCUUUCUGGUUGUAACACUCUGUCCUUUAUGGAAAUGAAGGAGGUAGCAGUGCAGUAAGCUCCGGCUAACUACGUGCCAGCAGCCGCGGUCAUACGUAGGGAGCGAGCGUUUUCCGGAUUUACUGGGUGUAAAGGGUGCGUAGGCGGCUUGGCAAGUCAGUAGUGAAAUUGAUGGGCUUAACGCAUGAAUUGCAAUUGAAACUGUCGAGCUUGAGUGAAGUAGAGGUAGGCGGAAUUCGCGGUGUAGCGGUGAAAUGCGUAGAGAUCGGGAGGAACACCAGUGGCGAAGGCGGCCUACUGGGCUUUAACUGACGUUGAGGCACGAAAGCGUGGGUAGCAAACAGGAUUAGAUACCCGAGUAGUC